AUGGGGCUAUAACUGCAGCUAGCGAGAAGCGUAGCAAUACGCUUGUAAAGUGGCGAACGGGUGAGGAAUACAUGGGUAACCUACCCUCGAGAGGGGAAUAACUCGCCGAAAGGUGAGCUAAUACCGCGUACGAUCCUUGGUCGCAAGGCGAAGGAUGAAAGCUGCACCGUGGGUGUGGCGCUCGAGGAUGGGCUCAUGUCCUAUCAGCUUGUUGGUGAGGUAACGGCUCACCAAGGCUACGACGGGUAGCUGGUCUGAGAGGACGAUCAGCCACACUGGCACUGCGACACGGGCCAGACUCCUACGGGAGGCAGCAGUAAGGAAUAUUGCGCAAUGGACGACAGUCUGACGCAGCGACGCCGCGUGGGGGAUGAAGGUCUUCGGAUUGUAAACCCCUUUCGGGUGGAAAGAUGGCUCUCGACAACGAGAGCGGACGGUACCACCAGAAGCAGCCACGGCCAACUUCGUGCCAGCAGCCGCGGUAAUACGAAGGUGGCAAGCGUUGCUCGGAUUCACUGGGCAUACAGGGUGUGUAGGCGGUUCGGUAAAGCCCUCUGGGAAAGCUCCUGGCUCAACCGGGAAAGUUCAGGGGGGACUGCCGGGCUAGAGGACGGGAGAGGAGCGCGGAAUUCCCGGUGUAGCGGUGAAAUGCGUAGAUAUCGGGAGGAAGGCCGGUGGCGAAGGCGGCGCUCUGGAACGUACCUGACGCUGAGACACGAAAGCGUGGGGAGCAAACAGGAUUAGAUACCCUGGUAGUCCACGCCCUAAACGAUGGACACUACGUGUCGGGGAGCAAUCUCCGGUGCCGCAGCUAACGCAGUAAGUGUCCCGCCUGGGAAGUACGUCCGCAAGGUUGAAACUCAAAGGNUUGACGGGGCCCGCACAAGCGGUGGAGCAUGUGUUUAUUCGACGGCAACGCGAAGAACCUUACCCAGGCUGUACAAGCAGGGAGUAAGAACCUGAAAGGGGAUGAGUAGCAAUACGACCUGCUCGUGCGCAUGUCACGCCGUCUCUGG
rnacentral:rRNA from 1 species